AGGCCUUUUAAGUUAAUCCAGAGAGGUUAGCAAGGGUGAUCAUAAAGUCUUACCAAAAAAUUAAAACCAAGAUGUCCGGGUAUCUUCUCCCGAAAGAGAGGAUACCUUUUUUUU
rfam:Pelobacter carbinolicus DSM 2380, complete genome.